AAGAAACUAGAGGCUCUAAAGAGCCUGUGUCGCUCACCUUGGUCUAUGUGCAUAUUAAACAAAGGACACAAAUGGAUUCAUGACAAAAUUGUAUUUUGGUGAUGGUGAUGUGUUUGAAGUUCUUACUUUACUGAACAUUCUUGCUUCUUACAAUUAUAUCUAUAAUGAACUUUGCCAAUUAGUAACAGAGAAAAAUAUUUGGUAAAAAUUUACAUAAAUUUACCAAAUUAAUGAAAAUUGUUAAAAAUUGACUAUAAAGGGCAAUAACUCCUUAAGGGGUCAAUUGACCAUUUAGGUCAUGUGGACUUAUUUGUAGAUCAUACUUUGAUGAACAUUAUCGCUGUUUACAGUUUAUCGCUAUCUAUAAUAGUAUUCAAGAUAAUAACCAAAAACAGCAAAAUUUCUUUAAAAAUUACCAAUUGGAGGGCAGCAACCCAACAACCGGUUGUCCAAUUCAUUUGAAUAUUUCAGGGCAGAUAUAUAUUGACUUGAUUAACAAUUUAACUCCUUGUCAGAUUUCCUCUAAAUGAUUUGGGUUUCAGAGUUAUAAGCAAAAAACUACAUGUUACCCCUGUUCUAUUUUUAGCCGUGGUGGCCAUCUUGGUUGGAUGGCCAGGUCAUCGGACACAUUUUUCAAACAAGGUACCUCAAAGAUGAUUGUGGCCAAGUUUGAAUUAAUUUGGCCCAGUAGUUUCAGAGGAGAAGAUUUUUGUAAAAGAUAACUAAGAUUUACGAAAAAUGGUUAAAAAUUGACUAUAAAGGGCAAUAACUCCUAAAGGGGUCAACUGACCAUUUCGGUCAUGUUGACUUAUUUGUAAAUCUUACUUUGAUGAACAUUAUUGCUGUUUACAGUUUAUCUCUAUCUAUAAUAAUAUUCAAGAUAAUAACCAAAAACAGCAAAAUUUCCUCAAAAUUACCAAUUCAGGGGCAGCAACCCAACAACAGGUUGACCGAUUCAUCUGAAAAUUUCAGGGCAGAUAGAUCUUGACCUGAUAAACAUUUUUACUCCAGUCUGAUUUCCUCUAAAUGUUUUGGUUUUUGAGUUAUAAGCCAAAAACUGCAUUUUACCCCUAUGUUCUAUUUUUAGCCGUGGCGGCCAUCUUGGUUGGUUGACCGGGUCACGCCACACAUUUUUUAAACUAGAUACCCCAAAGAUGAUUGUGGCCAACUUUGGAUUAAUUUGGCCUAUUAGUUUCAGAGGAGAAGAUUUUUGUAAAAGAUUACUUAGAUUUAUGAAAAAUGGUUAAAAAUUGACUAUAAAGGGCAAUAACUCCUUAAAGGGGUCAACUGACCAUUUCGGUCAUGUUGACUUAUUUGUAAAUCUAACUUUGCUGAACAUUAUUCCUGUUUACAGUUUAUCUCUAUCUAUAAUAAUAUUCAAGAUAAUAAC
rnacentral:lncRNA from 1 species